UACGUAGGGUGCGAGCGUUGUCCGGAAUUAUUGGGCGUAAAGAGCUUGUAGGCGGUUUGUCGCGUCUGCUGUGAAGAUCCGGGGCUCAACCCCGGACUUGCAGUGGGUACGGGCAGACUAGAGUGUGGUAGGGGAGAUUGGAAUUCCUGGUGUAGCGGUGGAAUGCGCAGAUAUCAGGAGGAACACCAAUGGCGAAGGCAGAUCUCUGGGCCGUAACUGACGCUGAGGAGCGAAAGCAUGGGGGAGCGAACAGG
rnacentral:rRNA from 1 species